UUGAUGGUAGUGUAUUGGACUACCAUGGCUUUCACGGGUAACGGAGGAUUAGGGUUCGAUUCCGGAGAGGGAGCCUGAGAAACGGCUACCACUUCUACGGAAGGCAGCAGGCGCGUAAAUUACCCAAUCCCGAUUCGGGGAGGUAGUGACAAGAAAUAACGGACCGAAGCGCUUUUGUGUUUCGGGGUCGCAAUGAGUACAAUUUAAACCCCUUAAUGAGGAUCCAUUGGAGGGCAAGUCUGGUGCCAGCAGCCGCGGUAAUUCCAGCUCCAAUAGCGUAUAUUAAAGUUGUUGCAGUUAAAAAGCUCGUAGUUGGACUUCUGGGGGGAUGCCGCUGUCCGCCUUUACGGUGUGUGCAUGCAGCGUCCUUCCAUCCUUCUGUCAGCCGCUGCUUCGGUGCUUACGUGCCGGUAGUGGGCUCAGAUAUUUUACCUUGAGAAAAUUAGAGUGUUUCAGGCAGGCUUGGUCCGGAAUACAUUAGCAUGGAAUAAUGGAAUAGGACGCUUUGUCCAUUUGAUUGGUUAUUGGACUUGCGUAAUGAUUAAUAGGGACAGUUGGGGGCAUUAGUAUUUAAUUGUCAGAGGUGAAAUUCUUGGAUUUAUUAAAGACUAACUUAUGCGAAAGCAUUUGCCAAGGAUGUUUUCAUUAAUCAAGAACGAAAGUUAGGGGAUCAAAGACGAUCAGAUACCGUC
rnacentral:rRNA from 1 species